UCGUUGGCAAACAGGAUCAAGUUUUUGAUGAGGAUAUACUUAUUUGCAUAUACAUGAACCGUUGAAAUAUUAAUUUGCAUAAAUAGCGAUAGCUUUUUCGCUUGAAUUUUUUUGUUCCAUUGGAAUUUAUUUAACGUGCCGUUACGAAUUAUUGCCAAAGAUUAUUUUAGAUUUACGAUGAGAGGGUCGUUCAGUCACCAUAUCAAGAGACUCGUCGAGUCUCGCGCUAAGUACAUUAAGAGAGCACCGGACGGGAUCGGUUCACAGUUGCUCGGUCACUAGCCCCGUCUAGUAAUAUUAUAAAUUGCCAAUUAAUCCGUGGCUGGACUCUGCAGCCUCUGGACUUGGAGUUACGAGUCGCUAUUGGCAUUACGGCAAUAUAGGUAAUUAAACCGAGGAGUAAUAUUAUAUAAGGAUUGGUGAUUUUUCAAAGAAAUCUCUCAUCAUCAUAUGAAGAAGAUUUAUUAAGGAUUUCCUUUACAUUAUAAUAAAUUUGGCAUCGUCAUAAGUUGUACGUAUCCUAUUUAAAAGUGUGCGUAAAAUUGCAGCUGAAUAACAAAUAUCUACAUUACUUACAUGAAAUAUCAAUUAUUGUUUUAAAUAUUAUAAUUAAUUAAAAAUAAAUGAUUUAUAAUCAAUUAUGUAGCUUUACAAUUUAAAAUAUUGACUGCCGAAGUCUAUCGAUUUUGUACAACAUUUCACGUGUGUUACUUUUGCUGCAGUAUAUUUUCCAUACGUAGGAUAUACUGCGAUAAGCAUUGAGCAUAAAGAUUUGAAAAUAUAAUUUGAGUAUCGUUCCAUAAAUAUCGCGUAACUCGCAUUUCAUCUCACUAAAAUCUACAUACACAAUAGGUAUGCCUGAAUAAGUAUACAAGUAUAC